rnacentral:tRNA from 1 species
GCCGGUGUGGUGGAAUGGCAGACGCGACGGACUCAAAAUCCGUUGGUAGCGAUACCGUGCUGGUUCAAGUCCAGUCACCGGCACCA